AAGACUGAUCCAGUAACAAUACGAAGGGAGAGAAGAAGAAAAUAUUAGGAAAAUAUUUGGGGAUGAUACCUUAAUGGUCAGAUAGAUAAACCUGUAUUAGAAUUAUAGCGGUGGGAGUAGAGGAGGAGGAAGAGGAGUUAGACAAGUGGUCCCAUUUGUCAAGGGAGAUCAUAGAAUUAACUUUCUAUUUAAAUAAGAUAAAUUUAAUAAACCUUAAACUGCAGCUUAGCUGGAGUUCUACUGGAACAGAUGAUGAUUUUGUCCUUUGGUUUUAUAGUAUUCUUACUAAUGUUCCACAAGCAUUCAUCCUGAGCCAUACUCAAUUCAAGCAUCCUCAACAACAACAACAACACAAUACAACACCACAAAAUGCCUGAUUUCUUUGUUUUUACUUUGCUGCUCAGGGAUCCAGAAAUGAGUCACAAAGAAGAAAAACUGAAAAUAAUCUCAGAGGAGUUUGUUGAAAAUGAAGAUGAGGAGGCAGAAAAACUGAAGAAAAAGUUGAAAGUCCAAAAACAAAGAAGAAAGAAACAGGUAGGGUUAUUACUAUUUUGACAUUUGUCUUUCUUUUUAAUUAAUGUCUAACUUUAACAAUGUUGUAGCA
rnacentral:lncRNA from 1 species